ACUGAUGUCUGUGUGUGUCUGGUCUCUGUCAGUCUGUCCUGUGUGUCUGGUCUCUGUCUGUCUUGUGUGUCUGUCUGUCCUGUGUGUCGUAUUUAGUCACUUUUUUAGUCUCAACUUAAAUGGAUGAUUUUAAAGUUGAUUAGUUUGAGGCGUCUGAUUUUUGCAGGAAAUUCUGGUACCUUAUUUUGAAAUGGCUUUAAUUUUUAAAGUUAAAUUUUGGUCUUAAAUCUCAGUUAUCGUAGUUGUAACUUGGACUGUUGACAAACGUGGAAGCCGAUGAGUCGUGUAGUAAAUGCAUCAAAGUUUACUGUAACUUGUCUAAAGUUCUUUCAAAGUGUUGUAUUGAUUAUGAUGAGCUAGACAAGGUCUUCCUUUAUUGUCAACUGGUAAUUGCUUUGAUAAGAUAACUGGUUCCUUUUAUAUAUGCAAGUGUAGUCACAUUAGAUUGUAGGUGUUAUUCAGCCCAUGGAUAAUGUUAUGAUAUACUUUAAAUCUGGCAUUUGUUGGCACACUUUUGAAUAUCCAUUUAAAGUCUUAAACUUUACGCUUUGUAGUCGCUAACUGAAAUCACAUACAAUAUUAAUGCUGACUUGUCUCACUCGCCAAGUUUAUUUCCCUCUAAAGGAGUUGAACCUUUUUGUGUUCAUAGUCUUUUUGCGCGUCAUGUUGGGAGGCCUCCCAGCAGGGGAUUGUUAUCGUCCCCUGCAGAACUAUGCGUUACUCGUCUUAGGGAUGCAGGGCUAUCCUGCACAGUUUCUUUCAAAAAUUAGAUUGUAGGUUUCAGGAUUAGAGCGCGUUUCUUUUCUUUAGGAGGACACAAACCUGGCAGAGAGACAACUCGGAUUAUUUAAGUGAAAGUUGCGCCAUCAUGUUAAAGACUGUUGUGAAGUGCCCUCUUGUAGCAGGAGUGAGCAGCUGCAGCUUUUUAAUUUAUUUUUGGUGAUUUGAUUUGUUUCUUGGAUUGAGUUGGUGUCUGGAGCUUUGUGGUUAACAGUGAUCAUGUAAACGUGUAAACACAAGUGAUCUUUUGCCUCUUAUUUGCGAAACUGGCAGCUGGUUGUAAUGAUAGGACUUUAUGGCUUUCCCAAAUGUGGGAUUUUUGAUGGAGCAUAGGGUUAACACCUCACCAUACACUAGCUAUUUCAGCGAACAAGUGUCUGUAGUCCGUUAUUAUCCAUGACUUUCAAGUUUCACAAUUUAGGCAGCUUGUAGAGUCUUUAGGAAGAUGCUUAAUCCCAAUGUCUUGGUUGGUUGCAUGAGAAACUUCUAUCUCUUAGAUGUGUUGGCGAAGUUCCUCCUCUGAUUGUUGUAGACUUUCCCUAAAGUUUCUCUCCGCUUUAACUCUUGUUAAGCUGUGCAUUAAAUGAUUCCUCCAACUUGUCUCCAUAUCCAUUGUUUUCUCCCUGCAGACUUCCACCACCCACUGCUGCUGUUGCCUCUGCUGAAGGUAGCCGUAUCCUGAUUCACUGCGUCUUCAUGUGUUUGGGUAAGAAGUGUCAUUAGACUACUAACAAUGUAAACACCUUUAAAUGCUUGAUCUAAUUUACCCAAAUGGUUCAUCAGUUUAGGACAAAAAAAAGUCAUUGAAUUUGACAUUGUUGGGGUCAGUAAUCUGACCUCUUAAUGUUUGGGAAACAUGCAAAAGAUCGCAAGCUCUCUGCAUGACCCAACAGCAUCCAUGUUUGAGUUAUUUCAUUGCUCAAUUUUUAAAUCAGUCAAGAUUUUAUGAGCUGGAUCUUCUUCACACAACAGAGAACAAGGUAAAUAGAGUCGACUCGUAACAUGGUAAGGCAUUUCGUCCUUCCCCUUCUUCUCUUUGUGUGAGGAAAUCUGGCCACGGAUCCUGACUGAGUGGCAUACCAUGACUGUGCAGUUUCCAAAAUCAGAUAAGGAUCCAUCUGAUUUUGUGACUCAGCUUGUCAUGAUAUGCAUUAAUCUUCCUCCGAAACAAAGGAUUGGAAUGGACAGGUUUGUAGUGUAAAUCACAUCACAUGUAGAUGGUGAAGCAUUUGUUUAAAUUGGAGUCAAGCAUUUUCAGGCGUCUGCUUUGUCAAUACUCUGGUGCCACGUCUUGCUAAACACACGAGAAGCUCUGAAUUGUGAAACUGCUGCCUCUUGCAGAUGUUACAACAGCAAUGGUUGUUGAAAGGCUGCAAGGAGAGAAAAUGAGAUCUGAGGACAGGAAAGUGGAAUUGAUUUCAUGCUUAGCAAAAUGAGGGUUUCAGCAGAGGACCUUUAUGUGGCGAGGCUACGGAAUCAGAAGGAACGUUUGUCUGGGCAACUGUGAGAUUUACAGUUUUUCAUGCAGCCAACCAAGACAUUGGGGUUAGCAUCAUCCCAAAUGGCUGGUGAAGAUUGCUUGUAACUGUCAGUGUAGGACAGGAAAGGCAGGUUUAAGUUAGGGAGGGCAUCCAUCGGUGAGCUCUGACUGGAUGUGAGGACCUGUCACACUUGACCAGAGAUGAACGCUGCAGCACAUUCCUGGAUCAGAGGACUCCAUGUUGGACACCACGACCUGGUGAUGACCUAGCCCAAGAUGAACCGGCCCUUCUACGACGAGGACUUCGCCCAAGAUGAACUGACCCUCUUUUCCACGGGAUUACUUCAGAUGGUGGACCUUGUACACAUGCCUCAAUGGCUGCUACGUCACUCUGCCCAUCAGGACAUGGUCACCGAGAUUUUUUUUUUUUUUUUUUUUUUUAAUGGACUUUAACCCCCCGUCCCCACUGACCCACUAUCAUUGAAAACUUGUAUUUAUUGCCUUCUUUAUAUCAAGUAAAAGUUUUGUUCUUAACUUUAUGGUUGACUUGUAUUUUUUCAGUGAUUCUGUGAUGAGGGUUAUUUUGACAAGUUAGUGCUUUGAACUUAAAGAUGUGGAAUUCUUUUAAAACGAAUUACACUGAUCUGUUACUGUAGACUUGGCACCUUUUGACACUGCUCCAAGUGUUCGGUUGAUUUUAACUAGAAAACUCAAACCCUAUAUGGAUUUGUACAAGGUU